AUCUGUGUCAAAUCCCAUCUGUGUCAUCAUGCAGCUGCGUGACCUUGAUGCAGUCCUUCGAGGCAUCCGAGUCUCAGCUGCUUCAUCUCUCCCACGUUCCACUCCAGCUACCAGCUACCAAGUCCCUUCUAUAUGCCAACAAGGCCUAUCUCUCCAGUGAACUACACCCAAACCCCAUUCCUGAGCCCCUGCGAGGUGCUGGGGAGAAGAUGCUACAUUGAUCACCUUGUGGUCCCUCCUGGUCGAGCAGGGCACAGAGAGACCUGAACAGGUGCUUCAGUAGAAAGUGACGGAUGUGGCAAUAGGUGCACGACAAAGUGCCAUGGGAGCUUAGAGGAGGGACCACUUCAUCCUGUCAGGGGGCAGCUAGAGAAAGGCACAGAGGUGAGAGGAGAGGAUCAGAUCUGAUGAGCUAAUGAAGGAGAAAGCAGUUCGCAAUUUGUGAAGGGUUAUAAAAGGGAUGUCUUCGCACGCUUUCAAGUUUGGGCGCUGCUGCCUGUCUCAGGGGCUCGAUGGCAGGCAGAUUAAUGAACACGGGCCCGGCACAGAGGCCAGCCUGCCAAAAAUGUCUGCAGCGCAUUCAGCAGUCCCCACGGCGGGCUGCAGGAGGGACAAUCAGAGGCAACAAAAGACGCAGAGCUGCACAGUCAGUUCCCAGCAGCGGCUGCAGCUCUAAUCUGACCCAGAGUUCCACUGUGGAAAUGAUCUUCUGCCUCCAGCUCCUCCUCUGCCCUCAUCCAACCCUCCCCCCACCUCCCUGCAAGACUGCCACCCUUGAGCAGCCAGCUCGGAGGCCCCUUGAUGCUUUUAAAAAUAAAGAACCAGCAACAGCUAGUGGCCCAUGCCACAAACACCCAGUGUCUAGCGAGGCCCCAUUAAGGCUCUGGCAUGGGGCUGUGACAGACGAGGGCAGAGAGAAUGACACCCUCUGGUUGGCAGCACGCCGCCGGGCCCUCUGCUGCCCUGUGCUCUGUGAUGGGACUGCAGGGCAAGGGCAGGACGAGUUGGGCGUUUUUAGGAGGCUGUUUCUUUUCUUCCCUUCAGUGGAGUUCUUAACAAACUGGCAUGUAGUAUUCACUCCUCAGAAGGAGAAACAGAUGGUGCUAGUGUGGGCCUCAGGGAUAUUUACUUUGGAAACACCCAGCAUGAUGGGGUCUGUGAAAAACUUCUCAGCAGCUGGGGUCCCACUGUGCCCAGCCAGGUGUCCAGGGAGCCAGUUGUUCCUUGAAGGGGAGCUGCCAG
rnacentral:lncRNA from 1 species